GUAGACACUUGCUAUUCCUUUUGGGUGGGAGCAACAUUGAAGCUCUUGAAUAUAUUCGAAUAUACAAAUUUUGAGAAAAACCGAAAUUACAUCCUGUCAACUCAAGAUCGUCUUGUUGGUGGAUUUGCCAAGUGGCCAGAUAGCCAUCCAGAUGCUUUACAUGCCUACUUUGGGAUCUGUGGUUUGUCGUUAAUUGGAGAACCUGGUAUUUGCCAAGUUCAUCCCGCCCUGAAUGUAAGCACAAGAACCACAGAGCGCCUUCACCACCUUCAUCAGAUCUGGAAAACAAGGACUCUAAACAGUGUUCGGACAACACACACGUCUCUACAUGACUGAUUUAGACUUGAAUGUAGUUCUGGUAGCAUAAUUGUAGCCCAAGGUUAAAAGCCAUGUAUAACCAAUGUGCUCUUUUAAGUGCUGGAGUCAUACAAUCAGAUCUGUGUUGGUGGCAUCACUUUGAUAGGGAGUUGCCUUCAGCGGGUUAUUCUGCAUUGUG